UUUUUUUUUUUUUUUUUUUUUUUUUUUUUUUUUUUUUUUUUUUUUUUUUACGAUUAUUGGAGUAAGUGAUUUGUUGGAUUUUUCCUAAACUGGAGCUUUGAGUAGUGGUCUGUAAUGGCGGAGAUUUAGGAUACUGAGAAGAAACUGAGUUGAAGUUGUUGUAUGGAAGCUCUGGUUCUUGAUCUACAAGUAGUUCUACUGGAGGUUUUGGUUUUGGGGAUUGGUGAUAGGUUUUGGAUUUCAUUUCACUUCAUUGGCCCUGUUUUUGUGUUCUUAUUUCAUCGUCUUCAUCAUUGAAACCUUCUUCGUCGGUGUGUUUGUAAAAUAUUGUACCUGAAGUUUGGUAAACCGAAGAAUGGAGGUUUAAGAAUCGGUUACGUAGUUUUGUUUUGUAACCAGUUUCUCUUCUAGACUGUAAAAAUGGAGGAGAAAGAGGGUGUUGAUUUCGGAUUUGCAUUAAAAGUGAGCCAAGCUCCAGAUAGCUUCGGGAUGAUGGAUUCGAGACCUGAAAAUACAAGCACGGACAGCGAGCCACCUCCUCCUCCUCCGCCUCCGCCGCCGGCGACGGCGACGGCGACGGUGGAAGCAGCUCUGACGCUGGCGGGUACAGAUGGAAAGAAGAAAAGAGGGAGGCCGAGAAAGUACGGACCCGAUGGAACUGUAGUGCCAACAUUGUCGCCAAUGCCGAUUUCAUCAUCGAUUCCACUGACGGGAGAGUUUCCGGGAUGGAAACGGGGAAGGGGGAGGUCAGUAGAAUCGCUCAAGAAGUCGCGGAAGUACGAUUAUGAGAUUCCAGGUAACAAGGUUGCCUUCUUUGCUGGAGCAGAUUUCACACCUCACGUGAUCACUGUUAAUAUUGGUGAGGAUGUUAACUUGAAAGUAAUGUCAUUUUCUCAACAAGGAUCUCGGGCCAUUUGUAUACUCUCUGCUAAUGGUCUGGUUUCAAAUGUCACACUUCGGCUGUCAACAUCUUCUGGGGGUACUCUAACAUAUGAGGGUCGAUUUGAGAUACUUUCGUUAUCUGGAUCAUAUAUGCCUUCCAAGAUUGGUGGAACAAAGAGCCGAUCCGGAGGGAUGAGUGUCUCUUUGGCUUGCCCAGAUGGCCGAGUAAUGGGUGGAGGACUUUCCGGCAUGCUAAUAGCAGCUGGUCCAGUGCAGGUGGUUGUGGGCAGUUUCCAACCACCAGGCCAUCAACAGGAGAAUAAACCAAAGAAGAGCAGGAUGGAACCUACAUCAAAUGCAAUUUCACCUCCUCCCGCUAUUAAGCUCAUAGGAGAUAAAACAGAUUCUUUUGACCCAAAUCCAGCUUUUAGAACUUCACCAGUCAACGAAAAACCACCUUCUCCAGAAGAAACAAGAGUUGUCCUCAACCAUUCAAACCAUGAGCGGUAUGAGCUCAUUGAUUCUGUGAAGGUAUGAGCUCAUUGAUUCUGUGAAGGGCUAACUAAGAGUGUUUAAACCACUGACGUAUCUGUCGUCAUCAGGUGGGAGUACUGGAAAACAAAUGGAAUUCGAUUCAAUUGGUUCGAGUUGAUUGAUUGGUUUUCGGAAACUGACAUGAAUGUCCCAACUACUCGACCAAUCUCGAGGUUCUUUGUCUUUCUUCUCUCCACCCACUGUUAACCUUUUCAAUGAACUCUUCCACUCUUCUUUUGAAAUCCUCAUCGUCCUCGUCCUCGUCCUCUUCCUCAUCCUUGUCCUCAUGAUCAUCACCACUCCCUUCAACACUGUCGCUGAAGUCUGGUUCAUUUAGGGUCUCUGUCACUGCACACACAUCAACUGUGGCAUUUUUCUGAAGCAUGAAAUUCUGUUCUGCAUUUGUGUUGCUGUGAAUGACGAUUGAAAGAGGCACAUCAUCAUGAU